rnacentral:tRNA from 1 species
UCCUAGGUGGCGUAGUGGUAAAGAAUCUGCCUGCCAAGCAGGAGACCCGAGUUCGAUUCCUGGCUUGGGAA